CAGUAGCCGCGGUAAUACGAGGGGGGCAAGCGUUGUUCGGAAUUAUUGGGCGUAAAGGGCGCGUAGGCGGUUUGGCAAGUUUGGUGUGAAAUCUUCGGGCUCAACUCGAAGUCUGCACCGAAAACUGCCGGGCUUGAGUAUGGGAGAGGUGAGUGGAAUUUCUGGUGUAGCGGUGAAAUGCGUAGAUUUCGGAAGGAACACCUGUGGCGAAAGCGGCUCACUGGACCAUUACUGACGCUGAGGCGCGAAAGCUAGGGGAGCAAACAGGAUUAGAUACCCGCGUAGUCCCUGUCUCUUAUAU
rnacentral:rRNA from 1 species